rnacentral:rRNA from 1 species
UAGGGAAUAUUGCACAAUGGGGGAAACCCUGAUGCAGCGACGCCGCGUGAGUGAUGAAGGCCUUCGGGUCGUAAAGCUCUGUUGUAUGGGAAGAAAAAAAUGACUGUACCAUACGAGAAAGGACCGGCUAACUUCGUGCCAGCAGCCGCGGUAAGACGAGGGGUCCUAGCGUUGCUCGGAAUCAUUGGGCGUAAAGCGCAUGUAGGCGGCCUUAUAAGUCAGAUGUGAAAUACCUGGGCUCAACCCAGGACGUGCAUUUGAUACUGUUUGGCUUGAGUAUAGGAGAGGGCAGUGGAAUUCCUGGUGUAGUGGUGAAAUACGUAGAUAUCAGGAGGAACACCGGUGGCGAAGGCGGCUGCCUGGCCUAUAACUGACGCUGAGAUGCGAAAGCGUGGGGAUCAAACAGG